CACGUAGGGCGCAAGCGUUGUCCGGAAUUAUUGGGCGUAAAGAGCUCGUAGGCGGUCUGUUGCGUCCGCUGUGAAAACUCGGGGCUUAACCCCGAGCCUGCAGUGGAUACGGGCAGACUAGAGGUAGGUAGGGGAGAAUGGAAUUCCCGGUGUAGCGGUGGAAUGCGCAGAUAUCAGGAGGAACACCGGUGGCGAAGGCGGUUCUCUGGGCAUUACCUGACGCUGAGGAGCGAAAGCAUGGGGAGCGAACAGG
rnacentral:rRNA from 1 species